GGUUAAAACUCAAAUGAAUUGACGGGGGCCCGCACAAGCGGUGGAGCAUGUGGUUUAUUUCGAUGCAACGCGAAGAACCUUACCUGGCCUUGACAUCCACGGAAUUUGGCAGAGAUGCCUUAGUGCCUUCGGGAACCGUGAGACAGGUGCUGCAUGGCUGUCGUCAGCUCGUGUUGUGAAAUGUUGGGUUAAGUCCCGCAACGAGCGCAACCCUUAUCCUUUGUUGCCAGCGAUACGGUCGGGAACUCAAAGGAGACUGCCGGUGAUAAACCGGAGGAAGGUGGGGAUGACGUCAAGUCAUCAUGGCCCUUACGGCCAGGGCUACACACGUGCUACAAUGGCGCAUACAAAGAGAAGCGACCUCGCGAGAGCAAGCGGACCUCAUAAAGUGCGUCGUAGUCCGGAUCGGAGUCUGCAACUCGACUCCGUGAAGUCGGAAUCGCUAGUAAUCGUAGAUCAGAAUGCUACGGUGAAUACGUUCCCGGGCCUUGUACACACCGCCCGUCACACCAUGGGAGUGGGUUGCAAAAGAAGUAGGUAGCUUAACCUUCGGGAGGGCGCUUACCACUUUGUGAUUCAUGACUGGGGUGAAGUCGUAACAAGGUAACCAAGGGCGAAUUCCAG
rnacentral:rRNA from 1 species